UAGUCCACGCCGUAAACGAUGGAUACUAGCUGUUGGGUUUUCGGACUCAGUGGCUAAGCGAAAGUGAUAAGUAUCCCACCUGGGGAGUACGUUCGCAAGAAUGAAACUCAAAGGAAUUGGCGGGGCCCGCACAAGCGGUGGAGCAUGUGGUUUAAUUCGAUGAUACGCGAGGAACCUUACCAGGGCUUAAAUGGGAGUCGACAGGGGUGGAAACACCUUUCCUUCGGGCGACUUUCAAGGUGCUGCAUGGUUGUCGUCAGCUCGUGCCGUGAGGUGUCAGGUUAAGUCCUAUAACGAGCGCAACCCCUUCCGUUAGUUACCAGCAUGUUAAGAUGGGGACUCUAGCGGGACUGCCGGUGCAAACCGAGAGGAAGGUGGGGAUGACGUCAAAUCAUCACGGCCCUUACGUCCUGGGGCCACACACGUGCUACAAUGGCCGGUACAGAGAGUAGCCAGUGGGGUGACCACGAGCGAAUCUAUAAAACCGGGUCACAGUUCGGGAUCGGGAGUCU
rnacentral:rRNA from 1 species